GUUAUGGCGAUUAUAGUUAGGCGGAUUUCUUUUGUUGAUACUUUCAUUUUGAUGUUGUUUGUAUAGCAUUUUUAUGUGCUUGAUUAAGAACAUAUCUUCGAUGUAUAUGUUCCUCUCCUCUGCCUGGAGAUUUUCUUCUGCUUCAAUAUACAUCUAUUUCCAGCAUUUAUGGAUUCGUAUAGGACACGGUCUCUACUUCUCACGGUCCGAUUUAACUUCUGCGCAAUAUUGAUGCAGUCUAAUUUUACUUUGUUCACUACGUCUCCACUUCUCACGGUCCGAUUUAACAUCUGCGCAAUAUUGAUGCAGUCCAAUUUUACUUUGUUCACUAAGUCUCUACUCUACUUCUCACGGUCCGAUUUAACUAACGUGUGUGUUUAAUCGAACCACUGCAUAUCAUCAAGCGUCAGCAUCGACAAGUCUUUCAAGGUAUAAAAGACAAGUAUAAUGUACGUAUUUUUAUUGUAUUUAUAAAAUGAAGAGCAAAAUCAAUAAGUUAGUUGUUGUCCA
rnacentral:lncRNA from 1 species